AGGGACACGCGGAUUCGCGCGUCACAGUGACCCCCACCGUCUCCUGGGAGAUGGGACACUGAGGCUUGGUAAAGCAGGUGAAGCAGGAGGCAACAGUGGGUCGGUGUCGAGGCUCCCACCUGACCUCUCCAGGGGGUCGACAGGAGGUUUCCUGGAUGCCAGGAAAAUGCCAGGGGUGGCGGAAAGUGACAGGGAUGAAGAAACCUCAGGUGGAGUUUCAGAGAGCGGGAUCUCAGCCUCAGGCAGGCCCAGACGGUGUGUGGUGUCUGCAAGUGGGGUGUCAUGUAUGGAUCCAGUUCAUUGUUGAGGUUGUUACUUGCCUUUUGGACAAAACUCCCAUGUACUGUGUAGUUUUCCAGAGGCUAAAUGACAUGUUACACCGAAGCCAACUAAAUAUCAAAGAAGAUAUGAGUAUCCACCUGCAAAAUUGGAUGGAAUCCAAUUUCAUCUAUUAAGAUACCAAAAUAAUUUCCCUUUCUCACCUUGAAAUGACCUGAGCUAACAGAAGAAAUUUUCCUGCAUUGCUUAUG
rnacentral:lncRNA from 1 species